rfam:Schistosoma curassoni strain Dakar, Senegal genome assembly, scaffold: SCTD_contig0000941
AUCAGCUGACGAGUCCAAAAUAGGACGAAAUAUGCGUCAAACUAGAU